UACGGAGGAUCCAAGCGUUAUCCGGAAUCAUUGGGUUUAAAGGGUCCGUAGGCGGUUUGGUAAGUCAGUGGUGAAAGCCCAUCGCUCAACGGUGGAACGGCCAUUGAUACUGCCAGACUUGAAUUAUUAGGAAGUAACUAGAAUAUGUAGUGUAGCGGUGAAAUGCUUAGAGAUUACAUGGAAUACCAAUUGCGAAGGCAGGUUACUACUAAUGGAUUGACGCUGAUGGACGAAAGCGUGGGUAGGAACAGG
rnacentral:rRNA from 1 species